GGCCGCUAGGCUAAUUGCCCUAGGACACCGCCCUUUCACGGCGGUAACAGGGGUUCGAGUCCCCUAGGGGACGCCA
rnacentral:tRNA from 1 species